rnacentral:rRNA from 1 species
GACGAACGCUGGCGGCGUGCUUAACACAUGCAAGUCGAACGGUAAGGCCCUUCGGGGUACACGAGUGGCGAACGGGUGAGUAACACGUGGGUGAUCUACCCUGCACUUCGGGAUAAGCCUGGGAAACUGGGUCUAAUACCGGAUAGGACCACUGCCUGCAUGGGUGGUGGUGGAAAGCUUUUGCGGUGUGGGAUGGGCCCGCGGCCUAUCAGCUUGUUGGUGGGGUGAUGGCCUACCAAGGCGACGACGGGUAGCCGGCCUGAGAGGGUGACCGGCCACACUGGGACUGAGAUACGGCCCAGACUCCUACGGGAGUCAGCAGUGGGGAAUAUUGCACAAUGGGCGCAAGCCUGAUGCAGCGACGCCGCGUGAGGGAUGACGGCCUUCGGGUUGUAAACCUCUUUCAGCACCGACGAAGCGCAAGUGACGGUAGGUGCAGAAGAAGGACCGGCCAACUACGUGCCAGCAGCCGCGGUAA